rnacentral:rRNA from 1 species
CUUGGUCAUUUAGAGGAAGUAAAAGUCGUMACAAGGUUUCCGUAGGUGAACCUGCGGAAGGAUCAUUAUCGAAAUAAAACUUGAGCGGSUUGUUGCUGSSCUUCUCGAGGCACGUGCACGCCUGUCAUUUUUAUCUCAUUUCUCCUCUGUGCMCCAACUGUGGGUCUGGAGUUUUUUGGUUCUUUGAUAGAGGGACUGCUCUCCAGGUCCAUGUUUCUUUUACAAUCUCUUGAAUGUGUUUUUGGAAUGUCGAAUUUGAUGUUAUAAAUACAUACMACUUUCAGCAACGGAUCUCUUGGCUCUCGCAUCGAUGAAGAACGCAGCGAAAUGCGAUAAGUAAUGUGAAUUGCAGAAUUCAGUGAAUCAUCGAAUCUUUGAACGCAUCUUGYGCUCCUUGGUAUUCUGAGGAGCAYGCCUGUUUGAGUGUCAUGAAGUUCUCAACCACAUUGAUUUGCUUUUGAUGUGGAUUGGACAUGGGAUUUGCAGGCCUUUUCUCAAGGUCUGCCUUCCUGAAAUAGAUUAGUGGUAUCKGGGCAGAGACUACUACAAGGUGUGAUAACUAUCUAUGCCUAUUGUAAAAUGCUGCACAAAACCGCUUAAAACCCCCCCAUCUGUGACCAAUUGCCUCAAAUCAG